UCUGGGUGAAGAAUUUCUAGGACAAUAAGUAUUGUCAACACCAUGAACAUUAUUUGAAGAAUUAUUAUAGAACUUCAUGGUUGAUAACACAUCAUUUGAAUGAGACUUAUAAGUAGUGUUGGUAUAUUUCAGGUAGUGAGAGCCUACUGAAUAUACAAAUUAAAUACUAUGAUUGUAAAGUACUGAUACAAUCAUCACUAGGUGGUAUUAAUGGUAUAGGAAUGUAAUUCAUGAAUACAAAUGAUAAAGAUUUUAAGUUGCUAGAAACCAUACGAUUCAUGGAAAUCUAAUUGGACAGGAUAUUAUAGUAAUACAUGUAUUAGUACUCAAGUAAUAUCAGGUAUUAAGAAUGAAAAUACUAUGCUAUAUGUGUCUGUAGGAAUAUGAUAGUGAAACACAGUUAUUAUCUAGAAAGUUACGAUCUUAAUUUUGUUAUCUACAAAGACGACUGUACCUGAGCAGGUAGAUCUUUCUAAUUGUUUUAUUUUUUAUUGGAUCAACAUUUGUAAAUAUUUUAUUUUAUUCAUUUAUUAUUGUUAUAAUUAUUGUUAUUGUUCAAGUAGUUAUGAUGUAACAUGGAUAUGGAUAUCAAUACAUAGCUGAAACAGAGGGAUUUUGAAGUAAAGUAAGCAGUAUAAGGGAUAGAAACUCGACCUUCCAAGAACUCUCAUAUAAUAGAAAUUUGUGACUUCAUCUUGUUCUAUGCUCAAUGAAUGUGAUACAAGUGAUGUGUGAAUGGACAGGUUAGUGACAUUGUGUUAUGGUUUUAAAACAAACCAUAAACAGAGGGAAUGUAGAAUAUUGCAUAUUCUAUGUUUCUAUUGAUUAUAUAUAUGGAUGUGUGGAUUGACAUAAGUAACAGAUGGUAUCAAUAAGUCACAAGGCUUUCUUUGUCCGAGAGCUCUGGAAUGUGG